rnacentral:sRNA from 2 species
CCCCCGCGACCGCCGAGUCCUGCCCGCGCGGGGGGUCUCGAUGACAGCUCGGGCAGGAGCGGGGAACCCAGGUUUCCCGGACCGCACCGCGGUCCUCGGGGUGAAGUCACGACAGUGACCGGGCUCUCCGGCCCGAACCCGACAGCUAACCUCGCAGGCGCGUGGAGGAACCCU